rnacentral:rRNA from 1 species
GACAGAGGUGCCAAGCGUUAGGCGGAAUCACUGGGCUUAAAGCGUGUGUGGGCGGAAUUGUAAGUACCUUGUGAAAUCCCACGGCUCAACCGUGGAACUGCUUGGUAUACUGCUUUUCUUGAGCCACUUAGGGGCUGUCGGAACAAACGGUGGAGCGGUGAAAUGCGUUGAGAUCGGAAGGAACGCCCGUGGCGAAAGCGAGGUCCUGGACCCUUUCUGACGCUGAGACGCGAAAGCCAGGGGAGCGAACGGG